CCUACGGGAGGCAGCAGUGGGGAAUCUUCCGCAAUGGGCGAAAGCCUGACGGAGCAACGCCGCGUGAUCGAAUGAAGGCCUUCGGGUUGUAAAGAUCUGUUGACAGGGACGAAUAAGCCAUGCGAAUAGUUUGGUGUAUGACGGUACCUGUUUAGAAAGCUCCGGCUAACUACGUGCCAGCAGCCGCGGUAAUACGUAGGGAGCCAGCGUUGUCCGGAAUUACUGGGCGUAAAGGGCGCGUAGGUGGGUGCUUAAGUCAGGUGUGAAAGUCCAUCGCUUAAAGGUGGAUCCGCGCCGGGUACGGG
rnacentral:rRNA from 1 species